AACUAGUCGUUGGACCUAAUUUCAUUUUGAAAAAAUUAAAGCUAUUGGCUAUUUUUGAAAACAAAAAAAACAAAAAAAACAAGAAUUGCAUCAUUUAAUUUUGCAAUGUAGCCGUUGGGGAGAUGACAUCCUAUAGGCAUGGGCUCAUAUAUGAAGUUUUGGUCUAGUAACUACUAUAGUCGCGCGUUUUAGGCAAGUAGGUCCCACCUGCAAGGGAUGUAAAAAAAGAUGUACAUGUGCAUCUAAAUUUGCAUCUCAUGGUAGUGAUGCAAAUUUACACUCGUUUAUACGUUCCCAUUGCGCGUGAUUCCGAUUACAAAAGGUGUAUAUUUAACAUACACCUAAUU
rnacentral:lncRNA from 1 species